UGGGCUGUCGCCAAGCGGUAAGGCAAAGGACUUUGACUCCUUCAUUCGACGGUUCGAAUCCGGCCAGCCCAGCGA
rnacentral:tRNA from 1 species